AGCUCGUUGGUGAAAUAGAAUCACAGUGGUCUGUCGAACCACAGUCAGGGGAGCAUAACCCCUACGGGCUGCCA
rnacentral:tRNA from 1 species